GUAAGUAUGGGCUGACAAAUGUUUCCAAGUGGAACUUUGAAACUUGGAACGAACCAGACCACCAUGACUUUGACAACGUGUCCAUGACCACACAAGGUAGGCAGCAUUUUCCCAGGCCCUGUUGGGUGGGCUGUCUGAGAGGGAAGCAGAACAAUCCCAGACCCUCAAGACCCUCCUGCCCUAGGCUUCCUGAAUUACUAUGACGCUUGCUCUGAGGGGCUGCGCAUUGCCAGCCCUACUUUGAGGCUGGGUGGUCCUGGGGAUUCCUUCCACCCCCUGCCAAGGUCACCAAUGUGCUGGAGCCUCCUGGGACACUGUGCCAACGGAACCAACUUCUUCACUGGUGAGGUGGGCGUCCGCCUAGAUUACAUCU
rnacentral:lncRNA from 1 species